CCCUUAGAUGUUCUGGGCUCCACGCGCGCUACACUGAUGCAUUCAACGAGUCUAAAACCUGCUCUGAUAGGGGUGGGUAAUCUUUUGAAUGUGCAUCGUGAUUGGGAUAGAUGAUUGCAAUUUUUCAUCUUCAACGAGGAAUGCCUAGUAAACGCAAGUCAUCAGCUUGCAUUGAUUACGUCCCUGCCCUUUGUACACACCGCCCGUCGCUCCUACCGAUUGAAUGAUCCGAUGAAUAUCAUGGAUUGAGGAUGCAAGUAGGUUCGCCUAUCUUCAUCUUCGAGAAGUGAAGUAAAUCUUAUCAUUUAGAGGAAGGAGAAGUCGUAACA
rnacentral:rRNA from 1 species